GUUCAAGUAUAAAAGUUUGAGAAAAGUGAAGAAGUGAUUAAAAAGAUUGAAUCAACGUUUACAACAAGUUAUAAAAUAAGUUACAGCUACGCAGAAGAAUUACCUAAUGAAACUUUAAUGCGUUAUGCAGCAAAAUUAUCAGUUAUAGGAAUUGAAAAGUGUCUCUAUAAGUUUCCUGCAGACUCUUGGGAAGACGAUCCAACUAAAUGGCCCUCAUUAAAUUAUCAUCAUCUUUAUUAUUACCUAAUAAAGACCCCUAGUGUGUUUAGUUCAGAGGCUAUGGAAAAUUAUAAAUCAUAAGAAGCUCAUAACCUCUUUAUAUCUGGUUAGGUACAAACCAGUGAAUACAUGAUCCUUCCUA